rnacentral:rRNA from 1 species
AUAAUAGACCAUACCAUUCUGAAAGUGCCUGGUCUUGUUUGAUCCUAGAAGCCAAGCAGGGUUGGUCCUGGUUAGUACUUGGUGGGGGAAGUAAUAAUGGCUGACACUGAUG